rnacentral:rRNA from 1 species
UUCAAUAUUGCCGUCAAACGCAAUGUGCACUUUUCCCUUAGUAAGACGCUGUGAUCCAUUAGAAAUUGGCCAUUCCAAUGGCUGUUGGCUAUCCAUAGGCCGGUGUGAAGUUCGUUGGUGCAAAUGGGGGGAUCUUUUACGGUUCUCUGUAUUGCCCGGCGAGCACAUCGUCACCUGAUAUAGCUGUCUGAUGGAUUUUAAAGAUCAUAUCAUUAAUGUCAUUGUGCAUUACUCCAUUGUGAGUUGGAUAUGUAUCCGAUCAACAGCGGUUAAAUUUGGGAUACCUUUUGGACCCGUCUUGAAACACGGACCAAGGAGUCUAUCUAGUAUGCAAGUAAAUGGGCAUAUGAAACCUAUUUGCAUAAAAAACUUGACUGUUAUGGGAUUACGAGUGGCGUGCAAAUGUCACUCCUCCAUCCCGGGGUAUUUUCGUCAACAUAUGCAGCAAUGUAUAUGGGAAAUAUACCAUGAGCAUACUGGAUAUGACCCGAAAGAUGGUGAACUAUGCCUGAUCAGGUUGAAGUCAGGGGAAACCCUGAUGGAGGACCGAAGCAGUUCUGACGUGCAAAUCG